rnacentral:rRNA from 1 species
GAUGAACGCUGGCGGCGUGCCUAAUACAUGCCAGUCGAGCGAACAGAUGAGGAGCUUGCUCCUCUGACGUUAGCGGCGGACGGGUGAGUAACACGUGGAUAACCUACCUAUAAGACUGGGAUAACUUCGGGAAACCGGAGCUAAUACCGGAUAAUAUAUUGAACCGCAUGGUUCAAUAGUGAAAGACGGUUUAGCUGUCACUUAUAGAUGGAUCCGCGCCGCAUUAGCUAGUUGGUAAGGUAACGGCUUACCAAGGCAACGAUGCGUAGCCGACCUGAGAGGGUGAUCGGCCACACUGGAACUGAGACACGGUCCAGACUCCUACGGGAGGCAGCAGUAGGGAAUCUUCCGCAAUGGGCGAAAGCCUGACGGAGCAACGCCGCGUGAGUGAUGAAGGUCUUCGGAUCGUAAAACUCUGUUAUUAGGGAAGAACAAAUGUGUAAGUAACUAUGCACGUCUUGACGGUACCUAAUCAGAAAGCCACGGCUAACUACGUG